UUAGAGUUGCAAGUGGGUAUUUGAGACGUAAGCAAGCAUUCCAGAGCCAGAGCCAAAGAUAGCAAAGUGCAAGGUACAUAGACGUAAUAAAUAGUCCACAACUCAGAAACGGGCGAUAAGAUUAUGGAGUGAGUGCUAUACAUAUAUAGAUGCAUAUAUAUAUAUACAGAGUGGAGUCGGAAAUUCUACUAAAUUUGACAUGACAUACGAGUUGGGGACAAUUAAUAAGUUGAUGUUGUUCAGUUGCUCGAUUAUGAUGUCACUGGGGGUCCGGCGAGUCAAUGAACGUCUUCCGACACCUUAAACAGCCACAACAACAAUGCUCAAGUUGCGCUUGAUUUGGUCGAGUCAACAUAUAAGGCAUAAAGCGUGUCGUCGAGUUGUCUUGGCUUGUAAAACGGAAAGCACUGCCAAAAUACAACACAAAAAUAGAAGUUGGCCGUCGGAUCUCCGCUCUCAUCAUAAUCAAAGCGAAUUCCUCAGUUUGGAUAAGUGCUUGGUUGUUAUCACAAAGUACUAAUUGACCAGCUGCUCCUCAUAAUCUAAGUCGCUGCGAAUAUUUCAUAAUUAACUAGCCAUGACAAAAAACACACGAGUGAAGCAAUAGAUUUGCUCAACAUUAAAUU
rnacentral:sRNA from 1 species